AAUAUUCUUCAUUGUUUUUAUAUAAUAUGCUUGUGAAUUUUUGUGUUUAAUGUUUAGUGUUUACUUUUAAGUUACACAAAUUUUACUUUUAGGCAAAAAAUUAAUAAAUUUUUAAAAUGGCUGCACCUACUUUGUUAACUUGCUUAAAACUCAGGAAAGAAGAUUCUCAACAAAUGGAAGUUGCUGCAUUAUAUACUCUUGAAAAACCAAAGAAAGAGAAAACUGUUUGGACAUCUGAAGUUACGACAGCAAAAGAAUCAGCCAUAUUUAAAAAUGUAGAAGAGUAUCAGACAUUAGACAACCUUGCAAAACAGCUGGAUGCUUAUGUAUUGGCAACAGAAAAAGCUCUCAGGAAAAGAAAAUAUGAUGACGAAAAUUUGAGAUUAAGCCAUCCUUCAUGUAGCUAUGUCACUGAAUCUUGCCUUCGUGCGGCUUUGCAAAGGUGUAAGAGAGAUCCAAAGUUUUGGUCAAAGAAUGGUUUGGAAUACUUGAUUAAAAAUAAUUAUAUCUCAAAAAGCUUGCAAGGAGAUGUCUUCAGCUGUAUUUUUCAGUACAAUGUGAUUGACUUAUUGAAAAUCUCUGUUCGACACAUCAAAGGCAUAUCAGAAAAAUGCAUUGUCAAAUGUUUAAAGCAUAUAAUUAAGUCAGUGGAUAAAUCUGAUAUCGAUAAAUUAACGCUAACGCUUAGUUGGGAUGGUUGUCCAGUUGAUCUGGACGUGGCGAAAAUAUUGUUAUGCAUGAUACCUGUUUCAUUUGAUGAGACAUGCAUGACAGAGUAUUUGAAAUUGCUGACUGCUGAUGAAGCUUUGGUAUUUUUGCAGUUCUUGCACUACAUACUAGCAGUUGUUUCACCAGCAUUGAUCAGCAACUGUAUAACAGAUAUUGAUGUCCCAAAAGAAAUAACAGAAAAAAAGGUUUUCAGCUGGGUUAACUGUCUUCUGUCCGCUCAAUUGAUGACUUUUAAUACGUCUCCGACGUUAAAGCAAUUAGUACCUGAGUUAAAAAAAACACUUUCGAGACUGGGAAAUUUUUACAGCGACGUUGCAUCGUUAGCACCUUACCUGGAACACUUUAAGAGUGAUCGAGUGCUACCUAAGAAAGUUCAUGGAAAGUACACCAUUGAAACAAUCACUUUGUGAAGUUGUGGUUGAGCAAUGUCAAAGUGUUAAUCCCGUGUUCUAGAUGUGUACUUUAACAUGGCGGCAUGUUGAAUAAAAACAUAAGAAUAUAUUUUCAAUUGUAAUAACUGCUUUUUGUUCUGUGUUUUAAGCUUUGGAAUUCUCUGUUCUGCA